rnacentral:rRNA from 1 species
GCAGGGUAGCUAUGCAUGGACGGGAUAACCGCUGAAAGCAUCUAAGCGGGAAGCCUCCCUCAAGAUAAGAUUUCUUAGGACGGUCGGAGACCACGACCUUGAUAGAUCGGAUGUGGAAGCGCGGUAACGUGUGGAGCUAACCGAUACUAAUUGUCCUAUUCGCGCUUGAGAGUUCC